rnacentral:rRNA from 1 species
GAUGAACGCUGGCGGCGUGCCUAAUACAUGCAAGUCGAGCGAACGGACGAGAAGCUUGCUUUUCUGAUGUUAGCGGCGGAGGGGUGAGUAACACGUGGAUAACCUACCUAUAAGACUGGGAUAACUUCGGGAAACCGUAGCUAAUACCGGAUAAUAUUUUGAACCGCAUGGUUCACAAGUGAAAGACGGUCUUGCGGUCACUUAUAGAUUGAUCCGCGCUGCAUUAGCUAGUUGGUAAGGUAACGGCUUACCAAGGCAACGAUGCAUAGCCGACCUGAGAGGGUGACAGGCCACACUGGAACUGAGACACGGUCCAGACUCCUACGGGAGGCAGCAGUAGGGAAUCUUCCGCAAUGGGGGAAAGCCUGACGGAGCAACGCCGGGUGAGUGAUGAAGGUCUUCGGAUCGUAAAACUCUGUUAUUAGGGAAGAACAUAUGUGUAAGUAACUGUGCACAUCUUGACGGUACCUAAUCAGAAAGCUCCGGCUAACUACGUG